AAUUUUGGACAAUGGGGGAAACCCUGAUCCAGCAAUGCCGCGUGAGUGAAGAAGGCCUUCGGGUUGUAAAGCUCUUUUGUCAGGGAAGAAACACCGGCUCUAACACAGUCCGGGAAUGACGGUACCUGAAGAAUAAGCACCGGCUAACUACGUGCCAGCAGCCGCGGUAAUACGUAGGGUGCGAGCGUUAAUCGGAAUUACUGGGCGUAAAGCGUGCGCAGGCGGUUAUACAAGACAGGCGUGAAAUCCCCGGGCUUAACCUGGGAAUGGC
rnacentral:rRNA from 1 species